AACGAACGCUGGCGGCAUGCCUUACACAUGCAAGUCGAACGGUAACGCGGGGCAACCUGGCGACGAGUGGCGAACGGGUGAGUAAUGCAUCGGAAUGUGCCCAGUAGUGGGGGAUAGCCCGGCGAAAGCCGGAUUAAUACCGCAUACGACCUACGGGUGAAAGGGGGGGAUCGCAAGACCUCUCGCAUGUGGCACGGCCGAUGGCAGAUUAGGUAGUUGGUGGGGUAAAGGCCUACCAAGCCGACGAUCUGUAGCUGGUCUGAGAGGACGACCAGCCACACUGGGACUGAGACACGGCCCAGACUCCUACGGGAGGCAGCAGUGGGGAAUUUUGGACAAUGGGCGAAAGCCUGAUCCAGCCAUGCCGCGUGCGGGAAGAAGGCCUUCGGGUUGUAAACCGCUUUUGUCAGGGAAGAAAUCUUCUGGGUUAAUACCUCGGGAGGAUGACGGUACCUGAAGAAUAAGCACCGGCUAACUACGUGCCAGCAGCCGCGGUAAUAC
rnacentral:rRNA from 1 species